GACGAACGCUGGCGGCGUGCCUAAUACAUGCAAGUUGAGCGAUGAAGAUUGGUGCUUGCACCAAUUUGAAGAGCAGCGAACGGGUGAGUAACGCGUGGGGAAUCUGCCUUUGAGCGGGGGACAACAUUUGGAAACGAAUGCUAAUACCGCAUAACAACUUUAAACAUAAGUUUUAAGUUUGAAAGAUGCAAUUGCAUCACUCAAAGAUGAUCCCGCGUUGUAUUAGCUAGUUGGCGAGGUAAAGGCUCACCAAGGCGAUGAUACAUAGCCGACCUGAGAGGGUGAUCGGCCACAUUGGGACUGAGACACGGCCCAAACUCCUACGGGAGGCAGCAGUAGGGGAUCUUCGGCAAUGGACGAAAGUCUGACCGAGCAACGCCGCGUGAGUGAAGAAGGUUUUCGGAUCGUAAAACUCUGUUGGUAGAGAAGAACGUUGGUGAGAGUGGAAAGCUCAUCAAGUGACGGUAACUACCCAGAAAGGGACGGCUAACUACGUG
rnacentral:rRNA from 1 species